rnacentral:rRNA from 1 species
GGGGGGGGGGGGGGGGGGGGCGGGGGGGGGGGGGGCGGGGGGGGGCGUCGGGGCUGGCGGCGGGGGGGUGAGUAGCGCGGGGGGAUGUGCCGCUUGGUACGGGAUAGCCUCGGGAAACUGGGAGUGAUACCGUAUGUGCCCUUUGGGGGCAAGAUUUAUCGCCAAGAGAUUAGCCCGCGUUGGGUUAGGUAGUUGGUGGGGUAAUGGCCUACCAAGCCGGCGAUCCAUAGCUGGUGUGAGAGGAUGAUCAGCCACACUGGGACUGAGACACGGCCCAGACUCCUACGGGAGGCAGCAGUGGGGAAUCUUAGACAAUGGGGGCAACCCUGAUCUAGCCAUGCCGCGUGAGUGAUGAAGGCCUUAGGGUUGUAAAGCUCUUUCAGCUGGGAAGAUAAUGACGGUACCAGCAGAAGAAGCCCCGGCUAACUCCGUG